GGUGUGUAUCAGGGGCUGGUGGUGUUGUAAGUGAUGGAGAAAAAACUGAUACUGACUACUGAGAGUGAAUAAGAAGAAGCUAAACCAGUCACUGUAAGGUUUGCUAAAGCUGGAGCUAAUGAUAAACAUAAGGUCGAGCCUAAGGAACUUUGGAAAGCUUUAAGCUACCACUCACUUGAGGUGUCAGUGUAUGGUAGUUGAGGAGGUGUGUCUCUUAAUUCAUUGGAUCAAUGUUCCCUCCCACUCAAUGCACUGGAGACUGGAACUGAGACAGUGUCAUUCUUCCUUAGGAAUAGAGAAAUAUGUGCUGUGUCACGUCAUCAUGUUCAAAGAAUGAAAUUGAAAGAUGCUUCAAACUUUUUGGUCAGGCAGCAAACCCAGCAAUGAAUACUGUAUCAACUACUAAAGCAUGAUUGGUGAGUAUAUUGAGGAAGUAUAGGUUUGAAAGCGGAUCAUCUGAUACUGAGAUACAAAUAAAAAAGAAACAAGGUUUUACUCAGUCUCCAAAAGAUUGUUUUUCUAAGAAUGACUCCCUAAUAAAAUCAGUUGGAAUUAAAUUUUAUUUUUAUUUUCGGGUAGUUUACAAGCAUAAUAUUAUUUUGAAAUUUUUUUGCAAAAUAAUAAUAAGUUUCUGUAAUUUUUAUUAGAUCAAUCUCAAGGGCGUGGUGUAGCCCGCCUUAAAACCACGUGGAGUCAUCAUGAGAAUUUUUUAUACUCCUGAACCUGGAUUUCCUAUUGUCGACACAAGAUAAGGGAGCUUCUGAUUGGCUGAAGGUGUUUAGUUGCUCCUAGUGAGUCAGAGAGUUGUUCCAGAGGAUAAUGGAUUUCAUGCUUACCUCAAUGGACUUUCUUAGUGUGGUGUUGUCCUUGGAGAGACUAGUUAGAGAGAGAAUAGUAUACAUAUACUUUUGUUGCAUAGAAAA